rnacentral:rRNA from 1 species
UACCAGCACCCCGAGUGGUCGGGACGAUUAUUGGGCCUAAAGCAUCCGUAGCCGGUUCUGCAAGUCCCCCGUUAAAUCCAGCUGCCCAACAGAUGGGCCGCGGAGGAUACUACAGAGCUAGGAGGCAGGAGAGGCAAGCGGUACUCAGUGGGUAGGGGUAAAAUCCGUUGAUCCAUUGAAGACCACCAGUGGCGAAGGCGGCUUGCCAGAAUGCGCUCGACGGUGAGGGAUGAAAGCUGGGGGAGCAA